UGCAUCUGCAGCCCAUGAGGAUGAGAACCUCCGGGGGCAGGGAGGUUCGACUCGAGCGAAGCGAGAGAACGUUGCGCCAGCAACGGCCC
rnacentral:sRNA from 1 species